UAUUUAUUAGAGUGGCAUUUUGGGUCUUUCUUUUCCAUCGGAGGGUCCUGGCUCAGAUCUGGAACCUGUGAGACAGAGAUCUUCUAUCGUGGCAACUGACAACAUCCUUUCUCAUCCUGGAUCUUUUGUGGGUAAUGAGGGGAGGAGGGAUGGACCUUGAGGAAGAGAAGCCACAUCUUGUGAGGGCUCUACCUCAGUAACCUGCAAUAGGGACUUUUGUGCAGGUCACUUACUGGGGAGCCCUUCCUGGAAGCACCAGCAGGAGAGACGAGAGCAGAGGGAAAGGCUGACAGAGCGUUGGUGGGCAAGCUCUACCGGGUGUCCCUGGAGCUCCAAGCUGCCAGCAAGCCUGAGGAAACCACGUGGAACAAGCCCCAACCUUCUGUCUGGGAUACUCAUCUAUCACACUGCCCUUGUGGAUUUAGGGUUUGUUUCUAGGGUCCAUUUGGGGUGCUCCUCAUAGGGUAGAGCAUAUUCCCAUGCUGCUGAGGGAUGCAGGUGGGAAGGGAGGGUGGGAAGUUCUUAGCCUUCUGGAAACUGCACCAGAACUUCAGGUGAGCACAGACAUGGUCCUGGAGGACGUGGGGUGAGGCACCAGCGGCACCUGCUAUCACUAACCACCAGCCAGCCCCGUGCUGGGGGAGCACGUGGGCACAGAGUCACUGUGGCUCCCCGCCCUCCCACCCCCCCACAGAACUGUGAGCUUCCUGAAAGCUGGUCUUAGCCUAUUUUGUUCGCUGCUGUA